AAGGAGCGGGCGACCGCGUGCGACAGUCUUCAGUUCAGAUUGGAAGCGAAAAGACGUACUUCGUCAAGAAGAUUAAACAGUGAAAAACGAAGUCUAAAGUUAAAAUAAGUAAUAAAAAUAAUAGAAAGCGUAUUGAAGCAGACGUGCAAGUGGAAAAGUAUUGUAAAAUCUAAGUAGUGAAAGAUAUUGAAACAGCCUCGUGGCAGGGGUGCUGCCGCAAGCGCUGGUCCGAUUUUCACCAAUCUCUUGGUGCAUAUAUAUUGGCGCGGAGACAAGGGUAGUAAAUUUACUCCAAGGAGAUUUCGGAACCGUGCUCCAGUGCCACAUUCGAGACUGCUCGUUGAUGAUCAUCAAAUGUGUCUGGCGUUAAGUGACUUAUAUAAAUGGAUACCAAAGUCACAAGUUUAUUCAGAUCCACAAGAAAUUAUGACUUUAAAUCUGUGUUGCGUAGUGUAAUUGAUUAUUUAUUCUCCUUUGUGCUACCUUCGUCGCUCUUAUUGAGCGAAUGAGAAUUAGAAUUGACAAAGAGUAAAGCGCACGAACAAGCUGAAAGAUAAAAGCAACUACAAUUAGUAAAACAGAAGCCAUCUGAACGAAAUUCGAAGCACGCAUCCAUACAUACAUCACAUUAAGCUUAAAUCUUUGACAUUGCGAUCAGCGGAUGUCUACCUAAUCUAUUCCCAUUGAUCGAAGCUAAAGUAAAUUUAAGCAACUAAACAAACAUGGAACAAAAUGUAUUAUAUUGAAUUAAAAAUUAGUCGAUAGAUAUUAGAGUUAAGCAGCAGUAGUAAUAUUCCUUUUGACCUAUGAAUAUAUUUGGCAAGGGCAACAAUGAUACCCAUACAAUAAUACACCUACACACACCCACCAACAUCGACGUCAUAUUGGGCCCAAGUGCACGCAACGAUGGAAGUAUGAGUGAGUUAAUAUAGAGUAGUGAGGACUAUUUUUUUUUGUAUAUCUGUUGUAUAUAUAUAUAUUUACGAUUGACAUUGCAUUGAUCUCGAACCUAUUGCCAACGUGAGCGUAAGAUAACAGUUUUGAUCAGUAAGUUAUGUUGGAAAUCUGAAGUUAUUUUGUUGAACAAAAAUCAGUAUAUUAUUAUUUUGUAAAAUCAUGAAUUCGAAUUUGAAUGUUUCGGUAAAUCUUAGGGAAUUGAUAAUUCGCUUGUAAUAUAACCAU